GUCUUCGGCCCAGAAAACCUCAGGCUGGUGCUGCUCCGUCAUGUGCAGGGAGCUGCUCGCAGCAACCUGAGCUCGUGGGCUCAUAGGCCAAGCAUUGAGCUCAAAGAGGCUGUCUCAAGUAUGAUAUUCAGUGUUACUGCAAAAUUGUUGAUCAACUACGAUGCGUCCACGUCAUCAGCAGGAGAGCUGUGGAAACAUUAUGAUGCAUUCACCACCGGACUAAUGUCAUUUCCAGUGAACAUCCCUGGACAGGGUUUUAUAAAUGUCUAAAGGGACGCAAGAAUAUAAUGGAGGCUUUGAAACACAUGCUUGAUGAGAGGAAGGAGGCAGAAAGGCAAGAAACGAUGGAUUUCUUGGAUCUCGUGGUUGAUGAGUUAAAGGAGAAGCCUGUGCUAGACGAGAACUUUUGUUUGGAUGUAUUGUUUGGGCUGCUCUUUGCUAGUAUCCAUACGACAUCAACCGCGCUAACUGCAGCACUCAAGUUUCUGACAGACAACCCUAAAGCACUACAAGAACUAGCAGAGGAAAAUGAGAAUAUCAUCAAAGGAAGGACCGAUGCCAGUUCAGAAAUCACAUGGGAAGAAUACAAGUCCAUGAAAUUCACCUCUAAUGUUAUAUAUGAAUCCUAGCCAACAUUGCCCCGAUGCUAUUCAGGAAAGCAAACCAAGAUGUUCACAUGAAAGGCUACACUAUUCCAGAGGGAUGGACAGUAAUGAUUUGCCCCCUGGCAACUCAUCUGAAUCCAAUUACUUAUACAGACCCCAACAUAUUCAAUCCAUGGAGAUGGAAGGAUAUUUCCGAGCCUGUUGGAGGCUCCAAGGAUUUUCUUGUCUUUGGAUUGGGACUGAGGUCUUGUCUUGGUGCUGACUUUGCAAAGCUUCAGAUUGCGACAUUCCUCCACUGCUUAGUUAUUAACUAUAGGUGGGAAGUGGUCAAUGGAGGGGACAUGGUGCUUUCUCCUGUACUUUCAUUUCCUAAUGGCUUUCAUGUGAAACUUAUAAAAAAAACUUGAAUUUUUUAUGAGCCACUACAAAUAAGUCCUGAGCAAAGUGAAACUUUCCAAUUAUGUAAACAAGAGAGAAUUCGUGUAAGUUUGAUGAUUGUCUCGAGCCUUAGCUCGAUGUUGGAUUAUAUAUAGAAUAAGAUUUGGAGUCUUCUAGA